GGAUGGUGGGUGGAAAUACACAGAGAGGAACCCACUCUGACACAAUUUCUCUACUUGACACAGAUUUUUCUGGCCUUCUCAAGACAUCUAAGCUUUUGUGAAUCCAAACAUCUUUCAUAAGAAUAUAUCUGCGUGAAGAACAAAUAAAAGUAGCUUGGAUAAAUAUUUCUCACUGAUUUCUAGAUUCUUGACAAAAUGUGUAAGCAUUCUCAAGUAAGAGAAUCAUAUGUCCUAAGAUACUAGUUGAAUUCUUUAAAUCCCUGUAAUGAUCCAAGAGUUUUGGGCUCACAGGGCAAACAAACCAUCUCUGAGUGUCCGUGGGGCUCCUAUGUUUUCACAACCCCAUCUCCCUGGUGUUUCAGUAGGUAGAAGUAACACUGUCAUAAGAAAAAAAAAAAAACUACUGGUUAUGACUUCAACUUCAACAUUGGCUGAGGCCUGAUGAAGUGGAUGCUUGACACAACCACGUUUCUCCAGGGGGUACCCAACUGACGCCCAGUUGUACCCACAAGAGGUGCCACACCGGGCAAACACACAUCCUUUACUCAACUGCACAGCUCACUGGGCAACAGAUUGUGGGAUAUGACCCGUGGCCUCCCAUGGUUUCCAUGGAUUCAUUCUGGUCUCUUGGUUUCUGACAUCUGCUAUACCACCACCUCUAUGACCCCUAUGCCCUGUGGAACACCACCCGAGCAACUCCAUGCCCCCUUGACUUAAUCAAUCUGGUAUAGCUAUUAUGUUGGAAUCCGGAGGCCAGAGGAUUUGGGAGCAGAGAGAGCAGCACUUUGCAGCCCCGUGCCCCCAAGCCUUGUCACCUACUAGCUGCCUCUUCAUCCUCCUGAGCUGGAGGGGCGCCUGGCAGCUUUGCUGCUUAGGAACUGCUUCAGCCUUUCCCUUCCCCAUGAAGUCUCUCCUUCUCGAGUGAUACGAAAAUCUGAGAAAGAUCCUCCACAGUUCAGGAAUUGUACUUGCCAAGGACUUCAGGCGCUGGAGGCUCAGACAUUUUUCUGCGGCAGAUGAGGCCAAUACGGAGGACUAUUGAUAGGGCGUGACCUUCAGAAAAUCAAGGUUAUAAUAAACAAGUGAGGGACGCUGUGUAUUAAGAAAGCUCAUUUGGGGCAGCCCCGGUGGCUCAGUGGUUUAGCGCCGCCUGCAGCCCGGGGCGUGAUCCUGGAGACCCUGGAUCGAGUCCCACGUCGGGCUCCCUGCAUGGAGCCUGCUUCUCCCUCUGCCUGUGUCUCUGCCUCUCUCUCUCUCUCCGGGUCUCUAUGAAUAAAUAAAUAAAAUCUUUAAAAAAAAAAAAAA
rnacentral:lncRNA from 1 species